rnacentral:rRNA from 1 species
UAGGGAAUCUUCGGCAAUGGGGGCAACCCUGACCGAGCAACGCCGCGUGAGUGAAGAAGGUUUUCGGAUCGUAAAGCUCUGUUGUAAGUCAAGAACGAGUGUGAGAGUGGAAAGUUCACACUGUGACGGUAGCUUACCAGAAAGGGACGGCUAACUACGUGCCAGCAGCCGCGGUAAUACGUAGGUCCCGAGCGUUGUCCGGAUUUAUUGGGCGUAAAGCGAGCGCAGGCGGUUUGAUAAGUCUGAAGUUAAAGGCUGUGGCUCAACCAUAGUUCGCUUUGGAAACUGUCAAACUUGAGUGCAGAAGGGGAGAGUGGAAUUCCAUGUGUAGCGGUGAAAUGCGUAGAUAUAUGGAGGAACACCGGUGGCGAAAGCGGCUCUCUGGUCUGUAACUGACGCUGAGGCUCGGAAGCGUGGGGAGCGAACAGGAUUAGAUACCCUGGUAGUCCACGCCGUAAACGAUGAGUGCUAGGUGUUGGAUCCUUUCCGGGAUUCAGUGCCGCAGCUAACGCAUUAAGCACUCCGCCUGGGGAGUACGACCGCAAGGUUG